rnacentral:tRNA from 1 species
GCGUGGCCUAGCGGUUGAGGCACCAGGCUUGUGACUUGAUGGUCGCAGGUUCGA